GACGAACGCUGGCGGCGUGCUUAACACAUGUAAGUCGAACGGAAAGGCCCUGCUUUUGUGGGGUGCUCGAGUGGCGAACGGGUGAGUAACACGUGAGUAACCUGCCCUUGACUUUGGGAUAACUUCAGGAAACUGGGGCUAAUACCGGAUAGGAGCUCCUGCUGCAUGGUGGGGUUGGAAAGUUUCGGCGGUUGGGGAUGGACUCGCGGCUUAUCAGCUUGUUGGUGGGGUAGUGGCUUACCAAGGCUUUGACGGGUAGCCGGCCUGAGAGGGUGACCGGCCACAUUGGGACUGAGAUACGGCCCAGACUCCUACGGGAGGCAGCAGUGGGGAAUAUUGCACAAUGGGCGGAAGCCUGAUGCAGCAACGCCGCGUGCGGGAUGACGGCCUUCGGGUUGUAAACCGCUUUCGCCUGUGACGAAGCGUGAGUGACGGUAAUGGGUAAAGAAGCACCGGCUAACUACGUG
rnacentral:rRNA from 1 species